rnacentral:lncRNA from 1 species
CAGAGCUGGGUGUAGCUUCCUACCUGGGCACUCCUGUCUGGCCUUGCCACAUUCCCAGCAGAAUGUGCACAGAGCUGCGCUGUAGGGUGGGGACCAGCGGGGUCAGGCCACUGGCAGGGCCCCACGAUCUCUCAGUUGAUAUUAAUUGUCAGCUUGACAACAUCUGGAGUCACCUGUAAGUCUCCGGCCACGCCUCUGAGAGGGUUAGUGCAGUUCAGUUAACUGAGGUGAGACAGUUUAAAAACAGGUUGCACCAUUCCUGGGCGUGGCCCUUGCACUGAAGAGAGGGGAAAGCAGGCAGACAUGCGUUUGUUCAGUGUCCUCUGCUUCUUGGCUGUGGAUGUGAUGUCACUAGCUGCUGUAAGCGCCUGUUGCCUUUAGUCCCCAGCAUGAUGACUGCACUGGGAACUGUGAGCCUAAUAGUCCUGUCUCCCUUAAAUCGCUUUUGUCAGGGUAUUUAAUCCCAGCAAGGGGGAAAAAAAUAAUACAGUGUUUACUGACUCGGUAUGCCCCACUGUGGCGAUCAGAGCCCACCAGAGAGAGAGAAAAUUGUUGAAAGCAGUGUGGCUGGGAGGUGGUGGUGCACCUCUUUAAUUCCAGCACUUGGGAAGCAGAGACAAACAGAUCUAGAUCUCUGUGAGAUCAAGGCCAGCCCGGUCUGCAUAGUAAACUCCGACACAACCAGGAAUACACAGAGAAACCCUGUCUGGAAAAAAAGCAAAAAAAUUUUAAAAAUUAAAAAAGAUACAUAGUAUGGCAGAGGUGUUGGCUCACACCUUUAGAGGCAAAUGGAGCGCCUGAGUUCAAAGCCAGCCUGGUCUACAGGACAGUCGGAGCUACACAAACCAUGACUUGAAAAAAAACAAGCAAACCCCUCUCCCAAAAAUAAAAUAUAUACAAUGUGGACCUGGAGAGAGAGUUCAGUGGUCAAGAGCACUGGCUGCUCUUCCAAAGAACCUUGGUUCAAUUCCCAGCACCCACAUGAAUGCUCACAGUCUUUUAAUGCCUAUUCCAGAGGCUCUGGUGCCUUCUACUGGCCUCUGCAGGUACUGCAUGCACAUGGUGCCCAGGCAUACAUGCAGGGGAAAUAAGUCUUUGAAAAAAGACAGAGACAGAGACAGUGUGAUGAGCAUGGUGACACACACCACUAAAGCCAGCACUCAGGAGUCAGAGGCAGGCAGAUCUCUGAGUUCAAGGCCAGCCUGAUCCACAAGGUGAGUUCCAGGCUAGCCAGGACUAUAUAAUGAGACCUUGUAUG